CUUGCGUUGACUGGUCUGGGUGCGCGUCUUCGGAAUCCCUGAGAUGACCAGGGCAGUAAUAUUGCACGGCCAGCAAAUGGCCCGCUGGCUCUACUCUUCACGAGUCUGGAUAGCCCACUGUAACAACACCACACACACCCGUACAAGCACGUGCACAUGCAGUAAAUCCGAACACGGCUGUGACAUGGCCUUGUUGCUUUGUCCGGAGACAAUACAAUCCGUUAAUGUAUAGGGAUAUAUUUUUACAUGAUGUGUAAAUUCAAUAUCUUUUUGUAUUUGUAUCUCCAACUCCAACUAGGCGCUGGUGGACGUCGGUCUGCGUCGGUCUGCG
rnacentral:lncRNA from 1 species